AUUCCAGCUCCAAGAGCGUAUAUUAAAGUUGUUGCAGUUAAAAAGCUCGUAGUUGGAUUUCUGGUACAAUGCGCCUGGCCCGCGGCAGCAAUGCCUGUGAGUGCCGGUGCGCGUUUGCCAUCCUUCUAGAAAACGUUUCUACCCUUUACUGGGCCGGACUCGCGAUCUAGAUCUUUUACUUUGAAAAAAUUAGAGUGUUCAAAGCAGGCUUUUGCUGUGAAUACAUUAGCAUGGAAUAAUAAUCUAGGACUUCGGUUUUAUUUUGUUGGUUUCUAACACUGAAGUAAUGAUUGAUAGGGAUAGUUGGGGGUGCUAGUAUUGGCCGGCCAGAGGUGAAAUUCUUGGAUUCGGUCAAGACUAACUUAUGCGAAAGCAUUCACCAAGGAUGUCUUCAUCA
rnacentral:rRNA from 1 species